rnacentral:miRNA from 3 species
AGGACGGGAAGGUGUCAACGUU